ACCUGCGAUUUUCAGACCCCUGUUUAUCUCUCACGUGCGUCCCAUUCUUGAGUACGGACUGCCUGCAGUAUUCCCAUUGACCAAGUACGAAUCCGAUAUGCUGGAGCGAGUUCAACGUCGCGGUACGAAAACAGUUGCAAAACUUCACCAGCUUUCCUACGAAGAUCGACUGGAACAGCUGAAUCUCUUCUCUCUGGCCUACCGUCGUCACCGAGGAGAUCUGAUAUAUACCCGGCGCAUUCUCCGAGGCGAACUUGGUGAAGACCUGAGGGAGUAUUUCAUCUUAAAUAAUGAUACAUCGACACGUGGUCACAGUUUGAAGCUAUACAAACCGAGGAGGUUACGCAUCCAUGGUGACGCCACUCUCUCUACCCGUGUAGUUAAUAGCUGGAACCGCCUACCCGAAUCAUGUAUCACAGCCCAGUCAGAGGAAAGUUUCAAGCGAAGUAUUGACGCAGUGUUUAAAGUCUGAAAGGUGAUGCUUGGUAGCAUCCCUUCAACGUCCGGGAAGUGAAGGAGCUGACAAGGGAUUCUUCCCUCUGCUUUCUACCUCUCAAUGAAGUCAAUGAAGUCAAUGAAGGUUAUCGCGUCUCCGACGUCUCUGGGCCUGAUUCUCCGCGAGCGAGCUUGGCUUCUUUCCUGAGCGCUGACGUCGAGUCACUCGCACACGUUUCCUUGACCCUCCCCUUUUCUAGCUCGCUGCAAGUUCCCUUCCAGUCGGCGCGCCAGGCUGCUGUGGCUCUGCGCUCGCUGAGUCCCGACCGCGAGCCCCGGCGAGGAGGCGUCCGCAAGCGGCUGACGCUCGCCGGGAGUGUGCUCAGCGCGAAGUGGCGUGCAGAGCAAGCUCGCGUCCUUCGCGUAUCCGUCAACUCCUUCCUGGAGCACCUCGACCUGGUCUUGGAGACCAUGCGUGCCUUUCCCGCCGACGUCGGACAGGAUCCUCACAGCGUUCUUGGUCGUCCACCUUCGAUGGACACGCGAGGGCCCGCCUUCAUGGAAAACUUCAGCGAGCCGAUGCUGCGUUCUUGAUUUAAAGUUUUUAGCGUUAAGCAUGUUUAUCCUUUUUUUUCCUAAGUUGAUUUCAUCGCGCGCUUGAUUACUGGCGUCAGCUAUUGCCCAAAAUGUCGCCACGAGCUGCUGUAGACGCAAGGCAGCCAAGCCAGCGCUCCGUUGGUUUUGCUCUGACCAUUGUGCUCGUCUGCGUUGGGGCAGGGUAUUUUUGGUUCUUAUUUAAAUGUUUUUCCCCUGAUCUCACGUGUGCUUCAUGUGUAAAUGUACGUAUCAUUUUGCUUUGAAUAAAAACAGAAGUCGCCUGCC